GGGCUUUUUUAUGGAUGUGUUAUAAUGAUACAUCAUUAAGAUUGUUUUCACCUUUUUCCUUUAGGUUUAAAUUUAAUUGGCAAUGGUCAACUUCUUCCAUCACUAAAUCAGUUUAAACGAACCAAUCAAUAGUAUCCACCAGGUCAGCAUAUCUUCACAUGCAAGUAGAGUGGAUGAUGCUGAAGUGGACUGAUGUCGAAUUGACCGAUGGCUUUGUGGAGUACAAAACAGACUCCUGAACUAGGCACAGUACUUGGGCUAUCUCAUGCCACACUUCCCAUCUUUCCUCUGUGGCUAGUUGUUAGAAAUAUGAUGCCCUGAAAAGGUGGUUUCUCCAUAUCAGAGAGCCAACAAAGGACCCAAGCAAUUCUUCGCUGGCAAGAGGUGUUGUCCAUCUUGUGAAAAGCAAAGGAUCAUAACAAAACAGAUACGGAGUUACCCCGAAACAGAAAAACAGUUGGCAGUUACCUAGGGUGGAAGUCCCAAAGGGUGCUCACAGCGCUGCUCAGAGGAGUUUAGCUGUUCUGUUUUGAACAGACAUCCCCACCUCCUACAUAACUGGCUGUUUUACAUAUAUAUCACAGUGGUUAGUCCUGAAUGAGGCAUGAGAUGGCUGUUUUUCCAGUAGCAGUCACAGUCUUCAACCAACAACAACAGCAGGAGAUAAAACUCUUUCACUAAAGGGUGACUACUGGAAUGUCCUCCAGUGUAUCCCACAUCUUUUGUCUACAACAUGUAUAGCUGCUCCAGUGCACUUCUGCUCCAAGCUGGAUCUGUGCGGUAGCAUUAUUUGAAAGAGGAAAAAAAUGGAAGUAAUUUAUACCAGAAGUGUCCAGACAGUGGCAUACAUAUAUCCCCAAUGACAGCAGUAAUGAUAGCAUUGAUUUCAAACAACAAGCAAGCUGUGACAACAUCUUGAGAGUUAUUCGCAUAAACGGAGGCUGCAAGCAGUUGAAUCUAUAGCAGGAAAGACAACUAAAAUACAAAAAAUGCCCUGAUACAGAAAGCUACUUGAAAGCUCCUUGGGGAAACAUACCUUAUGCUGGUGCCAUAUCUCGUUUAGAUCAACUGGGAAAAACAUACUUACCAAAGCUUCUUGAAAGUCAUGUGAAUCAUUGUUUCUCUAUUGUUUCCAUUAAAAGACCACUUGACCUUUUUGAAAAAAGCAUGUGGACAGUCUUGCUCUCCCGGGAUGUUUCUCAUGUACAAUUGAAUAAAUAUUAAGUUAAACUUAGAAUGCUACUUUUUGUUUUACCUACUUUGUUUUCAUGUGAUUGUAUGCAUGCAAAAUAUAAAAAUGGAUUUUUUUAGCUUUUUCCCUGUAUCAUUUUGGGGACCAUCUGCUGAAAUUUGUAAAUAAGUGAUAGAUAUGAAAGAACUUGAAAGAACUAUUGGGGAACUGUCUUGAGUUUUGUGUGUUGUAGACUGAUGCACAAGUGCUGGUGCCUCUGUGUUCAUCAGUCCCUUUUGUAGCAGCACCAUGCAGGAAAAAAGAAUUAUAUCUAUGGGAAAGGAAUCUAGAUUUUAAAUAUCUUCUAAUAGGUUGUUCUUUUUUAGAACGUAUCAGACUGAAGGUACAUAGCUAUGAGAACUCCUUCUGAAAUCUGAAACCUUUGUGCAUGAGCUGCAUGUUUUGUUAAUCCAAUGCCAAUUUAUUCAGGUUAUGUUGAGUACUUUGAACACAACCAAGCCAAACAUGCUUUGUAUCAAUUAAUGUUUUGAAUAUGAUUCUCAUUUUAAAGACAAUUUAUUCACAAGGGUCAAGUCCAAUGAGUUCAUCAAUGCAAUUUCUGAUGAGUUAUUUAAACACUGAGAUUGUUUUCCAGUCCUGAUUAUUAUUGCUUUGAGAAGUCUGCUAUCACUAUAGACUAAUCAUUUUUUUCUUACAAGGAUGUCUUUCAAAAU
ensembl:lncRNA